UACAGAGACUGCAAGCGUUAUUCGGAUUCACUGGGCGUAAAGGGUGCGCAGGCGGCUAAGUGUGUCAGAUGUGAAAUCCCGAGGCUCAACCUCGGAACUGCGUCUGAAACUACUUGGCUAGAGUAUUGGAGAGGGUAACGGAAUUCUCGGUGUAGCAGUGAAAUGCGUAGAUAUCGUGAGGAACACCAGAGGCGAAGGUGGUUACCUGGACAAUUACUGACGCUCAGGCACGAAAGCGUGGGGAGCAAAAGGG
rnacentral:rRNA from 1 species